AUCCUUGGCCCGUAGUGCAUGGAUAAUUCGAUGAUGUUAUUGGCAGGAUCAUGACCAUUAGUUAACAGUUGAAUGUCUUUGGUUGUAGUACACUGACAGACAAUUGAUUAGUAUGAUCAUGACCAUUGGUUUUUUAGUUGAAUAUCUCUGGCCCGUAGUGCAAAGGUAAACAAUUGAUUGGUAUGAUCAUUAUUAUUACAUUUGAAUAUCUUUAGCCUUUGGGAUAAGGAUAUUGAGUAAACGUUCUAUUAAGUCUUUGUGGAAAGGAGAAACUGUUGAUUUACAUAAUUAUAAAUAUGAAUUGUGGAUUUAACUAUAAUCUUUGGUGGUUUAGGUGAAGACAGGAGAUGAUAGUUCUUUUUGUCUUGGGAAUAACAAAGAACUGUUGUUGAGUAUUACAAAAAUAAAAUAUUAACGAUGGACUUUUAAUCUAGAAGAGAUAGUAGACAUUAUGUUCUACUUGACUCUUCUAAUGGAUUGCUUAUUUCGCUGUAGUUGUUGAUCUAAAACUUGUUGUCUAUUGUAUUUUAUCAGUUGUUAUACUGUUGAAGGCUAAGGAUAAUUUAUUCUGCAUUAUCUUAGUCAUAAUAUUUCUUACUGGGCUAGUUGAGCUCACCCUUUUCUUUCACUAUUCUCUUCAAGAAAUGAGAAUAUAGCUGGGACUGGUCGGGGAACGGAUUGACGGUCCAGAUGGUUGUUUCAGUAGUCCUCACUAUUCUGUGAAAUAGUGUGAUAAUAAUUGUAACGAGGACUCAAUUGAGAGUGGAUAUUGUCUAGAAGGCAAUAUUCUUGUUUAAACUCUCAACUAUGUUUUGUCGUAUUGUACACGACGGUUGUAUACUUAAGUUUGUAGUUGAUUUAUGUAGUGUGAUAUCUGGCGACCCAGAUGGGUGAUGUAUACAUGUUUUGGGGGCAUCACAAGUUCAGCGUAAACUAUAAGUCGAAGCUGUGCGUAAGGCAAGUUUCCUAACUUCAUUCAUAUUUUAAAUGAAUGCUAGUUUAUUAAACUUUCUCAGAUGUUGAACUUGAGAAGUUUUGUCUAUGUGCAAAUGUGUGAUAUUUGUACAAGGUGGUAGAAUGUAUGAGGCAUUGUGCCACAAUUUUAACACUUCGGUGUUUCUAUGAGAUGAACUGUUCUGUGAUUGAACUGUUCAAUAUGAGAAUGUUCUGUUUAUACAUGAACCGUUAUUGUUAAGUAUGUGCUAAUGAUUCUAGCCAGACAGGAUGUGUAUGAAAAAAGGUAGAAGAAUGAAAGUAUUUUAAAGUGAAUUUGACUAAUGUUUUAAAAAUGAUAGGAAUCAAAAUUAUUCCUAUUAUUCAAGUUGCUUCAUAACCUUUGUUCAGUUAUUGAAGUCUUAAAAGAAUGUUUAAAUUCUUGAAGUUGUUUAUUCAACUGCUAUGACUUGCUAAGCAAUUGAAUGCUCACACUUGCUUUAAAUAAAAAUAUUUUCAGCGAACGAUGUUAGAAAGAAUUUAAAACAUCUCGUAAAGAUCUAGUUGAUCGUUAUCCAGACGAAGUGCCAUUCAGUAUAUGAAUGAGCGUGAAGAUCAAGCCAAGACUUGUAAUGUAGAAUAGUUUAAUUAAACUAAAGGCUAGUUUAAUUAAUGAACUGCUAUAUAUCCUUGGUGGCAGAUAAAAGUCACUCUUAUAAGAUGUAAAGAAUAAUGUAAUUAUCAUUAUUUGUCAUGAACGAGGUUAUAAGGUAUAAGAACAUGGGAUUUGAGAAUGUAUGUUGUUAUAUUUAGCUAUAUAAUGAUGUAUGUUUGGCAAGAGAUGGGACCAAAUCCGGGUGUGAAGAUAGACCGAAUUUCAGGGCGUUACACUCGUCAUCUCCAUCAUGCUUUAUAUCACCAGCCCACUCGUCAUUUGCCACGUUGUAGAUUUGAUUUGAUUUUAUAUUAUACUGAAUAAUAAUAAUUUUUUAUUUUAUUUUAUUCUAAUUUUUU
rnacentral:lncRNA from 1 species